rnacentral:antisense_RNA from 1 species
GGAUGUCUGCUUCGGCCUAUUCUUGACCGCAGCACAUCCAUUUUCCUUACAGUAUGUAGUACGCAUUCCACCUUUUUCUACAAUGAAUCCACUAGGCAGAAAUUCCUGUACACAUCUUAUGAGCAAAGAAUUUGAACCUCAAAGAGUGGCUCAAAGAGGUCAGGAGGCACCUUCAACACUUUUAUUGGAGAUCUCGUCUAGAUCAUCAGAUUCUCACUCUGUCACCUAGGCUGCAGUGCAGCGGUGCGAUCUCAACUCACUGCCACCUCUCUCUACCUCCUGGGUUCAAGCAAUUCUCCUGCCUCAGCCUCCCAAGUAGCUGGGAUUACAGGAAUUACACACUAAUAGUGAAGAACAGGUGGCAACUGAAAUCACGGAAAAUUUAUUUGUCCUCAAUGCAAAGAUGAACUAUGAAGAGCACUUUAUUGUGUUUGAAGAAUGUAGGAAUGAUGAGUGAAAUGGUGAAGGAAGUGGAUAAACAAACAAUGAUGUAAUGACUGAGCGUCAUCUUGCAACUGAAUAAGCCAGUGAGGAACUUGGUAAAUUUGUUGAUUAUAUUUAGUUUUACAAUGUUUAAUUCUUUAUUAUUUUGAAGUGAUGUAUUUUAUUAUUAGGAAUGAUCAAUAGUAAUGCAUCCUCCAAAACUGUGGAAAGAUCAUAUUGUGCAAACUAGAGCAAAAAAUCACAUUCCUCUUACAUGGGCAUGAAAUCUUUAUCAAAUAACAUCAGGCACUGAAGCAGCUAUCUGAUACCU